GGAUAACGGAGCAGAUGGUGAGCUACGGACCGAGUCAAAGUUCAGACCAAUGAGACGACAAGUACCUACCGCCGAGCCUGAAGUUGUCAGAGCAACCGGAAUGAUGCCUUUGAUGGAAUUGACCCCGGAGAACACUAAAUCCAGCUCUGGGCAAAGGACGGAUCUGUCAGAGGACGAUCCUUGUUUUGCUGUUGAGGAAGUGGUUGAAUAGGGCGUAUGCACAAUAAAUUCAUAUGUAUUGAAUGUAGUGGCAGGUAGAUGUGAAGGUUUUAUGUUCUGGGACAAAGUGUCUGUCCCACACAUGUUAGGUGUAGCCCCUGCCGCAAGAAGGUUU
rnacentral:lncRNA from 1 species